AUUUACAAGUUGCUGCCGUGUUGGACAACUUAGUGGAGAACAGAGACGUAGGCCUGGCCCUCGCUCUCUGCAGGAGUGGCUGUUUGACUUCAACACACCCUGGAUGUCUUUUCAUCAUCUGGCUUCACAGGCCCAACAAGCACAGUCGCAUGAAGGAGGUUAGCAGCUCCAUAAGUCAACUCGAUGUAGCCGUGAGCGUGUUCACAUGACUGAGGAGGUGUUCCAGCUGCAAACAUGGGCAGGUCUGCUGGCAGCAGGGCGGCAUAUUUUACACUCCAAGAGCAAACUGGAAGAUGAGACAAACAUGAAGAAGUUCAACACAAAAUCCACACUAAAAGCAGCUCAGUUCAAGCUGCCAAAUGCAGGAAGGACAGCCGGCAAAGCAGUCGCAGACCGUGUGAAAGUGUGAGCUGCAGGCUCGUAACAUCACUGCCCCACCACGAGGGCACGAGCAGAGCCGACUGUCAUUACAUUUGUGUAUUUCGUGACAUGAAUGUGCUGCUUUGAUGUAUUCUUGUGACCACUCUGUGAUCACACACGUGGUAACAAGUACUGCGAUACUCCUGUCAUGUGUAAACAGCUGAACUGGGAUCAGAACAGGAUGAAAGAAAAGGCAUCAGACUGGAGACUUCAUUCAGGCCUGCCUAACACUGUAUUCUCACCUUAGAACAUUCAGUCAAAUCUCACAUUUGGACUCGAGCGUCUCUCAAAGGCUGCAGCACUUGUUUCCCUCAUGAACUUAUCAACAUCAGUAAACAGGAUGGGUCUCUUUGCAGCGAUGUGUAACUACAAUACACUGGUUACCAGCUAAAAUGAUGGACAAACGUGUACUGAAACAUGUGCAUAAAGAGUUAAAGAUGCUGAGUGUUGCAGAGGAGAGCUGAAGGAAUGUCCUGAGUUGAGAUGAGAGGAUCAGCACAUUCGGGAAGAUGGUGAUGACAGCAGCAUCAGUACAGGAGACACGUGAGGGAGAUCAUACAUGACUAAACUGCUGGAGCAUCUACAAUCAAACAUGUAAACAUGUAUGACUCACAGUGUGCAUUAACCUGAGCCCAUUAACCUGUUUAGGAAGCAUAACAACAAGGCUAACGUUAGCUACACAGAUGAGCGCGUGGAGCCUUGUCGUCCCGGACAAUACUGUGGCUCUCAAGCUAUAAGCUGCAUGUUGACAUGAAGACAGAGUGUAGAAGAGCUUAAGUUGGGCCAACUGGACUUCAGUUUAAAAGUGAAGACGUGUCUCAUUCAAAAGACUUCUUCAGUUCUGAUGAAGUGGUCGGGAGUCCCAGGUAUUAAAGCUCGAUGGUAGACCCGCCCAGCCAGCAUGUAACUGCAAGGAGGUUGAAUGGGUCGUUGUCGCACUCAGCCAUCAUGAGACUCGUUCCAGUCUCGUGUGUCCACUUGUGAGUGACCGGCCCGCACCCCCAUAGCCAUGGUGUGGCUCGUCAAAUGGGUCGUCAACCCACCCUUUCAUCGCUUCUAAGGGUCACGUGGUUCCCGGGGAGAAUGAGGUGUAAGACUCCUGGGGACGGAUCUCAAGGCUGCACUGUAGGUGCUCGAUAGGUGGUGGUGCAGACCACCACCCCUGCUGAGGGAAGGUUGUUCACGGUGUCCAUAGGUGGCUUCCUUCACCCCUGUCUCAAACCUUCUGUCUUCCCUGUCCAAGAUGUGAUGUGUUGUUGUCCUGAAAUGAUUGUCCCUUCUCCUUAAGACGUAGAUGGACUGCAGAAUCCUGGCCAGUUGGGUUGGCCCUCCUGUGUGGUUACAGACAAGUCGGUCUUUGUGAGUCUUUGGUGAGCUACGACUUCUGGAGCUGAAGGUUCACUUGACGUCAGCUUUCUGCAUGGUUCAACUCCAAUAAGUCAUGCAGGUGAAGGUAAGACAACGGUGCGAGACACACAUGAAGUGCGCUGAAGGGAGCCUUUUGACCAACUUUAAGGAAAACUUCAGCACAUUCAGGGUCUGUUUUCAUGUCUGUUGAUGUCUUUGUCCGUCCACAGAUUGGACCGAAAGUUCAGUACUGAAAAACAUGUGAAAUGUUCCCAGGGUGGAUCCAGUGAACACAGCCUGGGAGAAGAAAGUGGCAGACAUCUCCUCCUUUAAACAACCUCUCGUGAGUGUUUACUCAAGAUGAUUCUGUUUGACUUCAACCUUCCCAGCUGCCAACGGGUAGAGGACGAUCCUGAGGUAAGUACUGAUAGAAGCAAACACUCAGUCCAGCAGCAACAUGGUCCUUACAAGCCCAACUGCAAAGUCUGACGGGACGCUGUGUUACACAUCAUUCAUUUGCUGUGUACGACGUCUCGUUGCAGUCCUUGACUGUAAUCUCAUAGAACAGAACAGAAUAGUGUUUACUGUCACUGUACAUGGUACAACGAAAUUGACCAUUCAAACCAUACACCACAAAAAAAAAUCAUUUCAACAACAAAUAGCAAAAACAACAGCGGAAAACAAAAGCAGAAACAUCACAGGACAUCUCUGGCAACAAGAGGAAAUAUAUACCGAAAACUGUAAACAAAUAGUGCAAUAUGAAAUGGCAUGUACAUACAUGUGAACAGUAGUGCAUUACGAAAUGAAAAUAUAUAUACAUAAUGAAUAUUCUGGAUAAAUUAAAGCUAUAGACAUAGUAAGGCUCUGUAAACAUUGUGACUGUAAGGGCCCUUCUUGACCAGGGCCCUGAUGUUGUAGGUCCAGGAGUGGGAAAUAAGGGUGCCCAGAAACCCGAAGGUGGUGACAGGUUUCACCCGUUCUCCAUUUAUGAGGAGAUGGGUGUUAACACAUGAAACGUGUCCUCACGUGUUGGUCCACUGCUGUCUUUUCUACAGAGGACACAUCAGGUGCUGCUUCACCGCCACCCGGUACAUUACGGCAGGCCUGGUGGGGUGGAGAUCUAAGACACCCACAUGUCUUUCUCUCGUCUGUCUGUCUCUCCUCUCUUCUCCUGGUCCGCUCCUGACAGUCCAAUGUAAAUGUGGACAGCGCCCUCUGCUGGAACUGAGCUAAAUGGCAACAUAGACUGACAUGAAGGUGCCUUUUCACCAUUUUUAUGGGAUUGUUGCAUUUUUCUAUGAGCCCGGAUUAAGAUGUUAAUGCAACGGCUGAAACUGAACCUCGACUGCUACCAAAGGUGGUUACAACAAGAACAAUAAUAAUAAUUUGGGAUCAUCAAAGUGCAAAUAAGACUUCUAACA